rnacentral:rRNA from 1 species
GGCUGUUCGCCAUUUAAAGUGGUACGCGAGCUGGGUUUAGAACGUCGUGAGACAGUUCGGUCCCUAUCUGCCGUGGGCGCUGGAGAACUGAGGGGGGCUGCUCCUAGUACGAGAGGACCGGAGUGGAUGCAUCACUGGUGUUCGGGUUGUCAUGCCAAUGGCACUGCCCGGUAGCUAAAUGCGGAAGAGAUAAGUGCUGAAAGCAUCUAAGCACGAAACUUGCCCCGAGAUGAGUUCUCCCUGAGACUAUAAGUCUCCUGAAGGAACGUUGAAGACGACGACGUUGAUAGGCCGGGUGUGUAAGCGCAGCGAUGCGUUGAGCUAACCGGUACUAAUGAACCGUGAGGCUUAACCUUACAACGCCGAAG